UACGGAGGAUCCGAGCGUUAUCCGGAAUUAUUGGGUUUAAAGGGUGCGUAGGCGGUCUUUCAAGCCAGAAGUGAAAGGCUACGGCUCAACCGUAGUAAGCUUUUGGAACUGUAAGACUUGAGUGCAGGAGAGGAGAGUGGAAUUCCUAGUGUAGCGGUGAAAUGCGUAGAUAUUAGGAGGAACACCAGUAGCGAAGGCGGCUCUCUGGACUGUAACUGACGCUGAGGCACGAAAGCGUGGGGAGCAAACAGGAUUAGAUACCCCGGUAUCCCUGA
rnacentral:rRNA from 1 species